UAGUCAGCUCAACUUGGCUGCUGUUAACUAAACACUUGUGAACUGUAAUCUUAGACAGAGUCUUGGACUGCCGCUGUCUGUGCCACAGACAGUAGGCUGAUCAUUGGAGACUAGUCUAUAUCAUUGCCAGAGCAAUUUGGCAGUGGUUUAACUAGCGUCCUUUGAUGACUGACGCAAGUCAAAGUCCUUGGCUUCCGUCGCUGUAUUUGGCACUUAUUUUUUAAAUGUCUAAGGACCGUGACAAACUUUUAACGUAUUACAACCUUUAACAAUGGAUCUCUUGGCUCCUGCAACGAUGAAGAACGCAGCAAAAUGCGAUACGUAAUGUGAAUCGCAGUUCUCGUGAAUCAUCAAAUCUUUGAACGCACCUUGCACUUCCAUUUAACCGGAAGUAUAUCUGUUCGAGUAUUAUUAUACUCUCAUUUACAACACUUGUUGUAUUUGGACUUGAGUGUUCUGUCUGGCCGCUUUCGCAGACUGUCACUUUAAAUGAAAGAGUUUGAGAGCGUCUAAAGACAUCUCUGUUCCCUUGACUUGUUCAAAAUGAGCCUUGGGAACGUAGUCUUGUGCUGUGCCGAAGCAAACUCUAGGACCGAGGGGCAUAAAGGCCUUGAGCCUUUCACCUUUAAUCUCGAAUCAGAUAAGAUUACCCGCUGAACUUAAGCAUAUCAAUA
rnacentral:rRNA from 1 species